rnacentral:sRNA from 1 species
AAGCAAGAUGGCGGAAGAGCCACAGACCGUGUUGCAGCUUCCUCCCUCGAGUGCUGCUGGAGGGGAAGGACUUACGGAUGUCUCCCCAGAAACAACCACGCCGGAGCCCCCGUCUUCCGCUGCAGUUUCCCCGGGAACAGAGGAACCUGCUGGCGACACCAAGAAAAAAAUUGGUUGUGAAUUCACUCCUUAAACAAAAACCAAAUUCUUACGCAAAAUGAAGACUGCUAAGGGAAAGCUAAAGACAUAGAUGUUACGUUUUUAAGAAACACAUUUUGGAACCCUUGUGAGUUAUUUCAUUGCUUGAGCCAGCUAUCCUCAAUCCUUUAUUGCUUGAGAAUGUUUCGUUUUGUAAAAGAGAUUGCUAAGGUUACGUGUUCUAAAGCACUCUGUGUAGAGUUAGAGUUGCCUAUGAGAAAAGCAGCAUAUAAGCAUCCUCGAUUCAGAGAGGCUGAUUUCGUCCUUAGACAAGUUUUCGCCGUUCUGUCUUAAGAUGACAGUGGUCUCUGGCCGGGCGCGGUGGCUCACUCCUGUAAUCCCAGCACUUUGGUAGG